rnacentral:rRNA from 1 species
UACGUAGGGUGCAAGCGUUAAUCGGAAUUACUGGGCGUAAAGCGUGCGCAGGCGGUUAUGCAAGACAGAUGUGAAAUCUCCGGGCUCAACCUGGGAACUGCAUUUGUGACUGCAUGGCUGGAGUGCGGCAGAGGGGGAUGGAAUUCCGCGUGUAGCAGUGAAAUGCGUAGAUAUGCGGAGGAACACCGAUGGCGAAGGCAAUCCCCUGGGCCUGCACUGACGCCCAUGCACGAAAGCGUGGGGAGCAAACAGG